AGGGGGAUGGAGAGAAAGGAGGGGGAGAGAAAGAGAGGCUGAGAAAUCCGGAGAGGGAGAUCGGAGCCCCGGACAGUGAGCCAGACUCCGAGCCCCCAGAGGGAGGAAGGAGCCGAGACCGAGACUCCCGGGCACCGGCGCCGAGAACCGAGCCGCCGAUUCCGAGGCAGGGAUGGAGGCGGCGGCCAAGGGACAGCCGCCCGCCCGCCAGCGGGGCCGCCGCCGGCAAACCGGAGGGGGGCCGGCCAGGGCGGAGGAUGAGCCCCAGCCGGGCGGACCCCACGAGGAGCCUCGGGGCCGCAGGUGCCGGGGAAGGCUGGCAGCCAGGGUUCCCAGGAUGCUGAAGAGAUGGCGAUGUUGGCCGGCCGGCCAGAGGCCCUGCCAGGUAAGGCCUCCCCACCCUGCUCCCAGAGAGAAGACCCCGGGCAGGACUCCUCAUCCCUUGCAGCUCGGAGAGGGGUAAAAGCCCCCUCCCACGUUCCCCAAAUGGGGCAAGGGCUGGAGCAUCAGGACACCUGAGGGGGGCAGGGGGGGCAGGACGCCCGGGCCCCAGAGGGGCAGGGGCUGGGGAAUCAGGACGCCUGGGUCCCUGAGGGGGCAGGGGUUGUGGCCCAGGCACCCGGCUCCUGGGGGGGCCCAUUCUGCAGCCUGGCACCCACCCGUAGAUCCGACCUUGCGGGGCGCCGGCCACACACAAGCUCGAGUCUGUGGGUCUGUGUCGGGAUUGGCACGGCCGCCGGGCCCCCCCGCCAGCCUGGUCCAGCCCCCGCCCGGCCCGGCCCUGUCCGCCUCGCGCGCUGCCCGGGCUGAGGUAGUAGGUUGUACAGUUGAGAAGGACACCUGUGGAGAUAACUGUACGGCUCACUAGCUUUCCCCGGGCUGUGCCCCGCACCGAAGGAGGGGAAGGGGUUGGGAAGGGUCCGGAGGGAGGGGGCGGGCCUGGCGGGGUGGGGGGCUGGGCGGGGGCUGCAGGGCCUGCCGUGGGCACUCGGUGUCUCUGGGUCCCUCUCUGUCCCUCUCCGUGUCUUCCAGUGGCACUGUAGGUCCGUCUCUGUGUCUCUGUGGGUCCGCCGGUGGAGUGGAAGUGGAGGUGUGAGUGGUAUGUAUGGUCUGGAGAUGU
rnacentral:lncRNA from 1 species